rnacentral:rRNA from 1 species
AGCGAACGCUAGCGGCGGGCCUAACACAUGCAAGUCGAGCGGGGAGCAAUCCCAGCGGCGAACGGGUGAGUAACACGUGGGUAAUGUGCCUUCUGGUGGGGAAUAACCUUGGGAAACCAGGGCUAAUACCGCAUAUCGUGCUUCGGCAUGAAAGCCUUCGGGCGCCAGUAGAGCAGCCUGCGUCCCAUUAUUUAGUCCUAGUUGGUAGGGUAAUGGCCUACCAAGGGUACGAUGGGUAGCUGGUCUGAGAGGAUGAUCAGCCACACUGGAACUGAGACACGGUCCAGACUCCUACGGGAGGCAGCAGUGGGGAAUAUUGCGCAAUGGGGGAAACCCUGACGCAGCCACGCCGCGUGAGUGAUGAAGGCCUCGGUUGUAAGCUCUGUCGGGAGGGACGGAAGGGAGCGAAUCUCUGACGGUACCUCGCAAGAAAGACACCGGCUAACUCUGUG